rnacentral:rRNA from 1 species
UACGUAGGGGGCAAGCGUUGUCCGGAAUUAUUGGGCGUAAAGAGCGUGUAGGCGGCCCGGCAAGUCCGCUGUGAAAGUCGGGGGCUCAACCCUCGAAUGCCGGUGGAUACUGUCGGGCUAGAGUGCGGAAGAGGCGAGUGGAAUUCCUGGUGUAGCGGUGAAAUGCGCAGAUAUCAGGAAGAACACCGAUUGCGAAGGCAGCUCGCUGGGACGUAACUGACGCUGAGACGCGAAAGCGUGGGGAGCAAACAGG